UAAAUCAGUUAUCGUUUAUUUGAUAGUACCUUACUACUUGGAUAACCGUGGUAAUUCUAGAGCUAAUACAUGCUAAAAACCCCGACUUCGGGAGGGGUGUAUUUAUUAGAUAAAAAACCAACGCCCUUCGGGGCUCUUUGGUGAUUCAUGAUAACUUAACGGAUCGCAUGGCCUUGCGCCGGCGACGGUUCAUUCAAAUUUCUGCCCUAUCAACUUUCGAUGGUAAGGUAUUGGCUUACCAUGGUUUCAACGGGUAACGGGGAAUUAGGGUUCGGUUCCGGAGAGGGAGCCUGAGAAACGGCUACCACAUCCAAGGAAGGCAGCAGGCGCGCAAAUUACCCAAUCCCGACACGGGGAGGUAGUGACAAUAAAUACUGAUACAGGGCUCUUUUGGGUCUUGUAAUUGGAAUGAGUACAAUUUAAACCCCUUAACGAGGAACAAUUGGAGGGCAAGUCUGGUGGAAACUUCGGUUUUCUGUAUGCUGACGCCAGACAGAGUGGGGUGCAAGCCCUGCUAGUCGAGCACCUGUUUGUGGUGGGUAGGUGCUGGCGAGGUAACCUGGUACGGGAGAGCGAGAGUGAUCCCGUGGUGAGCGACCCGUGUCGCCGCCGUAACGCGCGCACAGGUAUCGGCCCCCCCAGGGGGCUCAAGGGACGCGCUGUUCCCCGUGCUGUCAAGCACGCCUCCCGCCGAAAGCACCCACCGUGCAAUGGCGCGAGGGCCGCCUUUUAUGGGUGGUGGAGAGAUUGAACGAGGCCAGCAGCCGCGGUAAUUCCAGCUCCAAUAGCGUAUAUUAAAGUUGUUGCAGUUAAAAAGCUCGUAGUUGAACCUUGGGCCUGGCUGGCCGGUCCGCCUCACCGCGUGUACUGGUCCGGCCGGGCCUUUCCUUCUGGAGAGCCGCAUGCCCUUCACUGGGUGUGUUGGGGAACCAGGACUUUUACUUUGAAAAAAUUAGAGUGUUCAAAGCAGGCCUUUGCUCGAAUACAUUAGCAUGGAAUAAUAGAAUAGGACGUGCGGUCCUAUUUUGUUGGUUUCUAGGACCGCCGUAAUGAUUAAUAGGGAUAGUCGGGGGCAUCAGUAUUCAAUUGUCAGAGGUGAAAUUCUUGGAUUUAUUGAAGACUAACUACUGCGAAAGCAUUUGCCAAGGAUGUUUUCAUUAAUCAGUGAACGAAAGUUAGGGGAUCGAAGACGAUCAGAUACCGUCGUAGUCUUAACCGUAAACUAUGCCGACUAGGGAUCGGGCGAUGUUACUAUUUUGACUCGCUCGGCACCUUACG
rnacentral:rRNA from 1 species